rnacentral:rRNA from 1 species
CCCUUAGAGUUUGAUCCUGGCUCAGGAUGAACGCUGGCGGCGUGCCUAACACAUGCAAGUCGAGCGAUUCUCUUCGGAGAAGAGCGGCGGACGGGUGAGUAACGCGUGGGUAACCUGCCCUGUACACACGGAUAACAUACCGAAAGGUAUGCUAAUACGAGAUAAUAUGCUUUUAUCGCAUGGUAGAAGUAUCAAAGUUUUUGCGGUACAGGAUGGACCCGCGUCUGAUUAGCUAGUUGGUAAGGUAACGGCUUACCAAGGCGACGAUCAGUAGCCGACCUGAGAGGGUGAUCGGCCACAUUGGAACUGAGACACGGUCCAAACUCCUACGGGAGGCAGCAGUGGGGAAUAUUGCACAAUGGGCGAAAGCCUGAUGCAGCAACGCCGCGUGAGCGAUGAAGGCCUUCGGGUCGUAAAGCUCUGUCCUCAAGGAAGAUAAUGACGGUACUUGAGGAGGAAGCCCCGGCUAACUACGUGCCAGCAGCCGCGGUAAUACGUAGGGGGCUAGCGUUAUCCGGAAUUACUGGGCGUAAAGGGUGCGUAGGUGGUUUCUUAAGUCAGAGGUGAAAGGCUACGGCUCAACCGUAGUAAGCCUUUGAAACUGGGAAACUUGAGUGCAGGAGAGGAGAGUGGAAUUCCUAGUGUAGCGGUGAAAUGCGUAGAUAUUAGGAGGAACACCAGUUGCGAAGGCGGCUCUCUGGACUGUAACUGACACUGAGGCACGAAAGCGUGGGGAGCAAACAGGAUUAGAUACCCUGGUAGUCCACGCUGUAAACGAUGAGUACUAGCUGUCGGAGGUUACCCCCUUCGGUGGCGCAGCUAACGCAUUAAGUACUCCGCCUGGGAAGUACGCUCGCAAGAGUGAAACUCAAAGGAAUUGACG